GCGGCGCUAUGCGGGGCUGCUCUCCUGGGCUGCUCUCCCAGUUGGAGUGGUAGUCAAACCCUGUUUGAACACUUCCAGCCGUGGGCAAAUCAUCACCUCACACAGCAUCCACUGACAGGCUGGCAGUGUUUGUGGGAAGAGAAGUAGUAACGGCCACUGAGACCAGAAGGUGGAACUUAGCUGGGAGGCUCUCCUUGGCCUGGGAGGUGAAAAGGCACAGAGCACAGGCUGGUACUGAGGCUCUGAAACACCAAGCCCUUCAAGCGUGAUGGAGGGAGCUGCUUUAUUAUUAAAUGGCAUUGUCCCCAAGGAGUGGCAACUCUCCACCUCUCCCUGAAAACACAGCUCCCUAGAGAAGGUAUCUCUUUCCAACUACUGUGCCUUCAAUCUCCAACCUCAAUUGUU